AGAAGGAACUGUUUAGAGACGCUCAGGUACACGGCAUGGGAAGUCUGAGGAAAGCAGGGUGAGAAGAGGUCACCAGGAGGUGGCACAUGGAGGAGCGUUCAGGUGGAAUCACUCAUCACAACAAUGCAGUGUCUCCGCAGCCCUGGGCAAGGGCUAGAUGAAUAAACGAAAAGACUCGAAAGCUGGCAUGUGUGAGACAAGACCUACGUGAUCCAGACACUGUACAAGGGUCUAUGGAAACACAUGGUUACAGAGUCAAGUCAGCUUCUGUGAAGAGCCUGAGCUAAGACUGUUGGCUGAAGACGAGUUUUCUUACAAACGUCAGUACUUAAUCUGGGUCCUAGACACUGGAGUGUGACUGCCUGCCGUGGGCUGAAAAGUAUGAGGAAACUGGGUGCACAGAUGUGAGAGGCAUGCCUCUGGAGCAGAGAAGAGUUGCAGCUUGAGUGAGAUUGUGCCCCUGACUGAUAACAGGCAGCAGCACUGUGUGGCCUGGGUCGCCCAGGGACCAUGAAACACGCAAACGCCAUCAGAAGAUGAUUUUUCUUCAUGGUCGUCUGACUGCAUCGCAAUGUUUCUCUAAGUAUUAGAUGCUUUCUCCCCUCUCCUCCCCAGUAACACCUAAGCGAUGGAUUUAAUCCAGACAACUGAAGGAAAAGAAUGAGAAGGAGAAAUGCUAGUCUGAAGUAAUUCUUAAAUGCAAAUAAAAAUGAGGAAUGUCAUCCUUCAAAACCCUGUCCAAAACUUCAUUAUUGCAAGCAACAAGGGUAAUGGAAUCAUGUACAACUUAUUAUAUUUUAUGCAUGUGUGUGUACUAUAUUAUAUAUAUAGAUAUAUAUUAUCUACCUAUCUAUGAAUGAGAGCCAGAGCAGUAUGACUGACUUGGUGUGGUAAAAAGAAAAUCUACAUGAAAAUACACUAUGGAUACUAAAAAGAAAUCUUUCAGCAAAGUUGCCUUUUAUUUUUUAUUUCUCAUUUUCCUUGUGCCUAGGGUAUCAUCCUAUUAUAAAUGCCAGAAACACUCAAAUCUGAAGAAGCAUAUUCCUGUUAAGAUGAAAAUAAGAAACCCUUAACAGCUUGUAUUCACACUAAGAAUGUUCGGUGGCCAAAGAAGUCCACCGAAAACUUACUAUCAGUUCCUUAUUAGCAAACUGAAAGUCCUUUCCAACAUUCUGUGUCAUUUUUAGAUACCCAGGAUAAAAGACAUUUAUUAUGAUGCUUCAAAAUAUAUAAGUAUGUAUGUACAUGUGUGUAAGUGUGUGUAUGUAUGCAUGUCAAGUUUACUUGGGAAAAUAU